rnacentral:tRNA from 1 species
GAGAUCGUAGCAUAAUGGCAUUGUGUGAGACUCCAGAUCUCAAGGUUGGGGGUUCAAUUCCCUCCGAUCUCA